CUCCCGUUGUCUCGCGUUCCGCCGUUGCUCUGGUGCCCUGGACUGCUGUGAAUGUGUUUUUAUGCCCUACUAGUGUUGCCUGGGGGUGCUUUUAUGUGUGCACCCUGGAAGAUAGGUCCAGAAGCCUUGCGAUUUCUUAGAUUAAAGCUAAGUGUACUCGUGGCCCUACCAGCACUUUUCAAGGUGAAGAUGCAACAUCGUCAGUGGCCCCGUUACUAAUGUCUAAUCUAUGAAUUUCAGAUACUUUCGACGUAUUCAUUGCGGUGAACAACGCGGUUGGGACAGCACACUCACGACGUGGGAAGGUCACAGAAAUGUUGAAAGACAUCAGAUUGGGCAUACGCUUCACCCGUGCAACUUCGUCAUGUGCUCCACGGCAGCACAAGCCUUUACGGCUGUGCCACUAUGUGUGGAAACGUCGUAGCGGAUGAAUGUGAAUUAUGGA